rnacentral:rRNA from 1 species
UACGGGGGGGGCAAGCGUUGUUCGGAAUUACUGGGCGUAAAGGGCUCGUAGGCGGCCAACUAAGUCAGACGUGAAAUCCCCAGGCUUAACCUGGGAACUGCGUCUGAUACUGGAUGGCUUGAAUUCGGGAGAGGGAUGCAGAAUUCCAGGUGUAGCGGUGAAAUGCAUAGAUAUCAUCCGGAACGCCUGUGGUGAAGACGACUCGCUGGGAAUGUGCUGACGCUGAGACACGAAAGCCAGGGGAGCAAACGGG